rnacentral:tRNA from 1 species
GAGGGUAUAGCUUAGUGGUAGAGUACAUGCUUAGCAUGCAAGAGGUCCUGGGUUCAAUCCCCAGUACAUCUA